rnacentral:rRNA from 1 species
GACGAACGCUGGCGGCGUGCUUAACACAUGCAAGUCGAACGAGGUCCACCGCGUAGCAAUACAAGGGAAGACCUAGUGGCGAACGGGUGCGUAACACGUGAGGAACUUGUCCCGGUCUCUGGGAUAACAGUUGGAAACGACUGCUAAUACCGGAUGACGUCGGAAUCUCGCAUGGGAUACUGACGAAAGGGUUACUGGAUCGGGAGAGCCUCGCGGCCUAUCAGCUUGUUGGUGAGGUAACGGCUCACCAAGGCAUCGACGGGUAGCUGGUCUGAGAGGAUGAUCAGCCACACUGGGACUGAGACACGGCCCAGACUCCUACGGGAGGCAGCAGUGGGGGAAUCUUGCGCAAUGGGCGAAAGCCUGACGCAGCAACGCCGCGUGCGGGAAGAAGGCCCUCGGGUUGUAAACCGGCUUUCAGAAGGAACGAAAAUGACGGUACUUUCAGAAGAAGGUGCGGCCAACUACGUGCCAGCAGCCGCGGU